rnacentral:rRNA from 1 species
AUGAACGCUGGCGGCGUGCCUAAUACAUGCAAGUCGAGCGAACGGACGAGAAGCUUGCUUCUCUGAUGUUAGCGGCGGACGGGUGAGUAACACGUGGAUAACCUACCUAUAAGACUGGGAUAACUUCGGGAAACCGUAGCUAAUACCGGAUAAUAUUUUGAACCGCAUGGUUCAAAAGUGAAAGACGGUCUUGCUGUCACUUAUAGAUGGAUCCGCGCUGCAUUAGCUAGUUGGUAAGGUAACGGCUUACCAAGGCAACGAUGCAUAGCCGACCUGAGAGGGUGAUCGGCCACACUGGAACUGAGACACGGUCCAGACUCCUACGGGAGGCAGCAGUAGGGAAUCUUCCGCAACGGGCGAAAGCCUGACGGAGCAACGCCGCGUGAGUGAUGAAGGUCUUCGGAUCGUAAAACUCUGUUAUUAGGGAAGAACAUAUGUGUAAGUAACUGUGCACAUCUUGACGGUACCUAAUCAGAAAGCCACGGCUAACUACGUG